AGAGUUUGAUCCUGGCUCAGAUUGAACGCUGGCGGCAUGCCUUACACAUGCAAGUCGAACGGCAGCACGGGAGCAAUCCUGGUGGCGAGUGGCGAACGGGUGAGUAAUAUAUCGGAACGUGCCCAGUAGUGGGGGAUAGCCCGGCGAAAGCCGGAUUAAUACCGCAUACGACCUGAGGGUGAAAGCGGGGGAUCGCAAGACCUCGCGCUAUUGGAGCGGCCGAUAUCAGAUUAGCUAGUUGGUGGGGUAAAGGCCUAUCAAGGCUACGAUCUGUAGUUGGUCUGAGAGGACGACCAGCCACACUGGGACUGAGACACUGCCCCGACUCCUACGGGAGGCUGCAGUCGAGAAUCUUUAGCAAUGGGCGAAAGCCUGACUAUGCGACGCCGCGUGAGGGAUGAAGGUUUUCGGAUCGUAAACCUCUUUCGAUGCGGAAGAAGCCUACUAUGAAUAAUAGUGGGUUGACGGUACGCAGAGAAGAAGCCACGGCCAACUCCGUGCCAGCAGCCGCGGUAAUACGGGGGUGGCGAGCGUUACUCGGAUUUAUUGGGUGUAAAGGGCAGGUAGGCGGCUAUGUAAGUUGGAGGUGAAAUACUUUGGCUUAACCAAAGAACUGCCUUCAAAACUGCAUAGCUUGAGGCUGGAAGAGGAGAGCGGAAUUCCCGGUGUAAGGGUGAAAUCUGUAGAUAUCGGGAGGAACGCCAGUGGCGAAGGCGGCUCUCUGGUCUAGCCCUGACGCUGAUCUGCGAAAGCUAGGGUAGCAAACAGGAUUAGAUACCCUGGUAGUCC
rnacentral:rRNA from 1 species